rnacentral:rRNA from 1 species
UACGUAGGUGGCGAGCGUUGUCCGGAUUUACUGGGCGUAAAGGGCGUGCAGGCGGUUUGUUAAGUGCAGGGUGAAAGCUCCCGGCUCAACUGGGAGAGGUCCUUGCAUACUGGCGAGCUUGAGGGAGGCAGAGGAAAGUGGAAUUCCCGGUGUAGUGGUGAUAUGCGUAGAUAUCGGGAGGAACACCUGUGGCGAAGGCGGCUUUCUGGGCCUUACCUGACGCUGAGACGCGAAAGCGUGGGGAGCGAACCGG